rnacentral:tRNA from 1 species
GGCAACGUAGCUCAGUGGUAGAGCAGGGGACUCAUAAGCCCUUGGUCAGUGGUCCGAAUCCACUCGUUGCCACCA